UAUAAAAAAAAAAGAGAAAAAAGAACCAAGGAUAAAAAAGAGGAUACAAAAGCUCAUCGGUGUGUGUGGACUUCUAGUACUUGUUUUUUUCUCUUGUUCCUCUUCUCUUUUCUCUUGUCCCUCUUCUCUUUUCU
rnacentral:RNase_P_RNA from 12 species